GGGACUUGUAUAAAAAGUUGCAAAAGUAAUAAUGUUGUCAUUUAGCUCCAACAUGAAACUUAUUCUCAUAUGUAUUGCUUUGUUGGUGAUCGGGAAAGCUGAAGAAACGGAACCUUCAGGGAACUUAGAGACACUUGGUGAUGGCCCUUUAAGUAAAGCUUUCGGUCUACAACGGCUGCAAAGGGAACGGAAUCCAACGGAUGAAGAAUGACAAGGCUCCAGUUGAUCAUAGAGUAACUUCUGUUGCACAUAUGUUUAUU